CUGUAAGACCACAGCCUAGCAGUCAGAAGGCUUGUUCCCCUUUUCUAUACAUGCCUGUCUGCGUUCAUGAGAAAGAGCCACGCGGUCCCGGAUGGACUUGCCAACGAUCUUGACGUCGCAGUCCAGGAAGAACCCAGACUCCACCUGGAUGAGACGGUACACACACUUUUUGGGUUCCUCCACCCACAGCUUUAAAGCGAUGGAGGAUUUUUUGCCAUGGUCUUCUUCAUUGAGCUCCACCCUGACGCCGGUGUCCUCUGCGAAGAAGGCGUGGUUGAGAAGGUCCUUGAUGGAGUACCUGCAGGAAAACCAGCACUGAGUAUACUACAGACAGCUCAGCCAAUCAGCAGCCUCUUCAGACCCCAUUCAUGCCAGCCUCCACUGCAGGCGCCGACAAGGACACCUUUUCUGCUGUCUCACGCUGCGACUUAUACAACACCUCAUGCUAUAUACUACAACAAGCACACAUGGACAACACGGACGAAAGGGCAAGGCCUGCUUGGAUCCUCACCAAGAAGCUGCUCAGAUAAACACGCUUAGUAGAUACACACAAACUGCUGAAUGUAACCCCUCCCUUCCUAUUUGGCACCACACCACAUAUGGAAAACUUUUUCUUGACAGAUGCUAGGAAAUACUUCAGGACAACCAUAAAUCCUUUCAUUAAAAGGCUGGAUUUGAAUGCAGUACUGCAAUAUAAAACCUAUCAAAGUCAUAUUCCAGCUAAAUAGUCAUAUCAAGGCAUCACUUGGCUUUGUUUGGAUGGAAGCUAUUCUCCAAUGUUCUAUGUUUGCUGGUAAAGGAAGAUGCUCUCAUACGUGCCACAACUAAAGGCAGGACCUCAGCUCCAAAAGGGAACCUGAAGGAUACACGGCCUAAUCUCAAGUGAUCAUUAGAUUAUAGCGCAUACAGAUUAGUCAUCAUGGCAGCGAGCUAUGAUGCCCCUCAAUAAUUCAUGUCUACUUUGUCUUGGGGGAAUUACUCAUGCAUGGAUGCAACAAACACCAUCCGCCCUUGUUUCGGCCUGAUGGCUUUCAUCGCAGACAGCACAUCAAUAACAAAUGGCACAUGCAGGAUGAACCCUUCUUUACCACCUUCUAAAUACGCUUUUUAACAUGAUUAGAGCCCUAUUACCCAAUGUAGUAGACAUCAAAAGAGAAAAUAAGCCUUUUAAGACAUGGAAAAUCUGUUUAUCACCUUCUAAUUACUGAUUAGAGUCCUCUAGACAUGAUAUAACACCCCUAUAGUCAUCUUUAUACUCCUAUUAGCCAAUAGACUAGACAUCAUAAGAGAAAAUAAGCACUUUAAGACAUAGAAACUCUGUUUAUCACCUUCUAAUUACUGAUUAGAGUCCUCUAGACAUGAGAUAACACCCCUAGAGUCACCUUUAUACUCCUAUUAGCCAAUAAAGUAGACAUCAGAAGAGAAAAUAAGCCCUUUAAGACAUAGAAACUCUGUUUAUCACCUAAUUACUGAUUAGAGUCCUCUAGACAUGAUAUAACACCCCUAUAGUCACCUUUAUACUCCUAUUCGCCAAUAAAGUAGACAUCAAAAGAGAAAAUAAGCACUUUAAGACAUGGAAUAUCUGUUUAUCACCUUCUAAUUACUGAUUAGAGUCCUCUAGACAUGAUAUAACACCCCUAUAGUCACCUUUAUACUCCUAUUAGCUAAUAGAGUAGACAUCAUAAGAGAAAAUAAGCACUUUAAGACAUGGAAAAUCUGUAUCACCUUCUAAUUACUGAUUAGAGUCCUCUAGACAUGAGAUAACACCCCUAGAGUCACCUUUAUACUCCUAUUAGCCAAUAAAGUAGACAUCAGAAGAGAAAAUAAGCCCUUUAAGACAUAGAAACUCUGUUUAUCACCUUCUAAUUGCUGAUUAGAGUCCUCUAGACAUGAUAUAACACCCCUAUAGUCACCUUUAUACUCCUAUUCGCCAAUAAAGUAGACAUCAAAAGAGAAAAUAAGCACUUUAAGACAUGGAAUAUCUGUUUAUCACCUUCUAAUUACUGAUUAGAGUCCUCUAUACAUGAGAUAACACCCCUAUAGUUACCUUUAUACUCCUAUUAGCCAAUAAAGUAGACAUCAUAACAGAAAAUAAGCCCUUUAAGACAAGGAAAAUCUGUUUAUCACCUUCUAAUUACGCUUUUUAAAAUGAUUAGAGUCCUCUAGACAUGAUAUAACACCCCUAUAGUCACCUUUAUACGCCUAUUAGCCAAUAAAGUAGACAUCGUAAGAGAAAAUAAGCCCUUUAAGACAUGGAAACUCUGUUUAUCACAUUCUAAUUACUGAUUAGAGUCCUCUGGACAUGGGAUAACACCCCUAUAGUCACCUCUAUAAUCCUAUUAGCCAAUAAAGUAGACAUCAUAAGAGAAAAUAAGCACUUUAAGACAUGGAAAACCUGUUCAUCAUCUUCUAAUUACACUUUUUUAAAUGAUUAGAGUCCUCUAGACAUGAUAUAACACCCCUAUAGUCACCUUUAUACUCCUAUUAGCCAAUAAAGUAGACAUCAGAAGAAAAAAUAAGCCCUUUAAGACAUAGGAACUCUGUUUAUCACCUUCUAAUUGCUGAUUAGAGUCCUCUAGACAUGAUAUAACACCCCUAUAGUCACCUUUAUACUCCUAUUCGCCAAUAAAGUAGACAUCAAAAGAGAAAAUAAGCACUUUAAGACAUGGAAUAUCUGUUUAUCACCUUCUAAUUACUGAUUAGAGUCCUCUAUACAUGAGAUAACACCCCUAUAGUUACCUUUAUACUCCUAUUAGCCAAUAAAGUAGACAUCAUAACAGAAAAUAAGCCCUUUAAGACAUGGAAAAUCUGUUUAUCACCUUCUAAUUACGCUUUUUAAAAUGAUUAGAGUCCUCUAGACAUGAUAUAACACCCCUAUAGUCACCUUUAUACGCCUAUUAGCCAAUAAAGUAGACACCAUAAGAGAAAAUAAGCCCUUUAAGACAUAAAUAAGACUUGUGCUUGUGUGUGUGUGUGUGUGUGUGUGUGUGUUGCUGUUAAUGUGUUGAAGUGUUCGGGGAGCUGAGUAGGGGCAGACAGGAAGUGGCGUUGGGGGUACAGAUGUACAUCACUGCGCCAUAAAUCAAAGGCUGUUGGUGCUUGUGUGUCAUUUACACCCAAGCACACAUGACCCCUGACCCCUCGGCGUGCCCCUGCAGACCCUAGCGGGCACGUGACACCCACCUGGAGUUCGCACCACGCCACCUCCACCCAGGUGUCGGUGUCCAGACCCUUGUAGACCGUCUUGAAGGAGCCUCUGCCCAGUUCGAUGUCAAACUUGAGGAAGCGGCCCCCAGGUGAGGUGGACACAGCCUUCAUUCCCGGCUCCUCUUCGUUCUCAUCACUUCCUGCCUUGCCUGUGACGUCACAGGACACGCCCUCUUCCUUGACCUCGCUUCCGAGCGUGUCACCUUUCUCCUCCUGGCGGGAUCCCGUGCUCCCGGGGCCGCCGUCCGUGACUUCCGCCUCCGGCCUCGAGUCGUCCAGUAGGCGGCUCGCAUGCAGAGCGCGACUUCGAGUCCGGCCCACGAUGGAGCGCAGGUCGAUGUUGAGCGCCGGGGUGCCGUGCACACACUCCGCCGUGUCCGCGGCAUGCUCGUCGGAGUCGGACACCCACAAACUCCGCCGAAUGAACCUCUGGCGGACCAGCCCGCGGUAGUCCGCGGAUGGGUAGGCGCUGGGGUCGCUGGCCCCUCGCAGGGCUGUGAUCUGGAUGUUGACGUUGUCAUCCGCUCCGUUCUCAUAGAUGGGCCUGAAGGCGUUAGCGUUGAUGUCGGAGUCCAAAUCCGGUGCUGAGCAAAACGACGAUCCGAGGAGCGGCGGGGCUUUGCUCGAAUCCUCCGCCGCUUCCAUCCCGGGUGCUCGGGUUAGUCGCUGGCCCCGACAGGCGGCAUCGUGUGCGGGGGAUGAGCGGCGGUCCUCCCGGGGCGGGUCGGCUGGCUUACC